AACUUUCAACAAUGGAUCUCUUGGUUCCGGCAUCGAUGAAGAACGCAGCGAAAUGCGAUAAGUAAUGUGAAUUGCAGAAUUCCGUGAAUCAUCGAAUCUUUGAACGCACAUUGCGCCCCUCGGUAUUCCGGGGGGCAUGCCUGUCCGAGCGUCAUUGCAACCUUCAAGCACGG
rnacentral:rRNA from 1 species